rnacentral:ncRNA from 1 species
ACGAGGCAGUGCUGAGCACACAGAAGUCAGCAGAGGUCAUAGUAGCUGAGAAGCGAAGGA